CUGUAUGUGAUGGUUUGGCAGUGUACUCUUAGUUAGCUGUUGUAUAUAUUACAGCAACUAAAUACACUUCCAUAUUAUUGCAUGACUU
rnacentral:pre_miRNA from 11 species